AAUGAUCUGAGUCGCCACCUACCGUCCUAACCCUAGUCUUAGCUCCAUCGUACAUGUCCUUGAUUACUCUGAUGUAGGCUUCCGGCACGCUCUUCGCCUCCAGACACCUCCACAACACCUCCCUAGGGACAUUGUCGUACGCCUUCUCCAAGUUGAUAAACAUCAUGUGCAUGUCCUUCUUCUUAUCCCUGAACUGUUCCACCAAUCUCCUGACAAGGUGGAUAGCUUCUGUAGUGGAGCGACCCGGCAUGAAACC
rnacentral:lncRNA from 1 species